UUUCACCUUCCGUCAUGAUUGUGAGGCCUCCCCAGCCACGUGAAACUGUUCAGGGGCUACAUGUGCAGGUUUAUUGCAUGGGGAAAUUUCAUGUCGCAUAGGUUUGGAGUAUGGAUUAUUUCAUCACCCAGAGGAAAAUGGUGACUAGGAGGCAGGACUAAGCUGCAUCUCCCACUUGGAUGGAAAAAGCAGCAGGUGGAGACUCACAUAGCAAACUUUUGCUCCAAGAACUACCCCAGGAAAAUACCGAGAAAGCCAAGAGAAUCCACAGACCCUUUGAAGGAAGCAGAUGGCUCCUGCAGGCCCCAGGAGGCAGCCCCCAAACUCCAGGAGGCUGGUAGCCUGAGGCAGAUUCUCAGCCCUGCUCAUCCACUGUCCGGAAACAAACUCCGUGCUGUUGAGGGAAGCACAGUAGGAAUGAGACUGGCCUUUUGAGCUGCGUGGGGAGCUGGGUGAGGGCUGUCAUUGCCAACUUUCCCCCACUUCCCUGACAACCUGCAUGACAUAGAAGAGGCAGGAAGAAUGCCCCCGGGAGCAUAACUCCCUUGGCCUGAAGAAUCAUGCCCCCAUCCCUCACAGCAGCCACAGCAAACCCCGGCCAAGGAGAGUUUGAGCUCAGACAGGCCUAACCCUGCUUCCACCUGUUGUUUUUCUCUAUCUGCCCUGGUAACCAACGACAAAAGACUUAUUCUCUUGGGAGCUCUAGGGCCCUACCCAGUGCCUGAUCCUCUCUAUACUAUCACAGCUGAUGCUCUCUUGAAGGCAGCACCUCCUGGCAGGAGGCCAACCAGCACAAAAAUCGUGCAGUAAACAAAACCACAACUCACAGUGUCCAUUUCAUUCCCCUGCCACCUCCACUAGAGCAGGCGCUUCUAUUCCCAGAUGAGAGAGAUGAAGACAGUUCACACUGCAGGACUCUGUGCAGACACCCCCUAGUACCAGCCUGGAGCCUGGUAGCUCCUCUGGGUGGUUAGACCAGAAAGAGGCAUAUCAAUUACUAUAGUUCAGCACGCAGGAAGCCACAUCCCUAGGAAAAGGGGGAGAGCCCUACAUCAAGGGAGCACCCUGCCCGGGCGUGGUGGCUCACGCCUGUAAU